GACAGAGGUUGCAAACGUUGUUCGGAAUUACUGGGCAUAAAGCGCACGUAGGCGGUUCGUUAAGUCAUGUGUGAAAUCCCUCGGCUCAACCGAGGAAUUGCGCCUGAUACUGGCGGGCUAGAGAUCGAUAGGGGUGAGUGGAACUCCAGGUGGAGCGGUGAAAUGCGUAGAUAUCUGGAGGAACACCGGUGGCGAAAGCGGCUCACUGGAUCGAUACUGACGCUGAGGUGCGAAAGUGUGGGGAGCGAACAGG
rnacentral:rRNA from 1 species